ensembl:lncRNA
GGGCUAUACUGUACAACAUGGCAAGCACAGUUAAUAAUACUGUGAUGCAUAUUUGAGAGUUGCCAAGAGAAUAAAUUAAACCCUGAUCAUACACACAAGACAUUGUAAUUAUGUGAGGUGAUGGAUGUGUUAACUACUUUAUUGUGGUAAUCAUUUUGCAAUAUAUACAUAUAUAAAAUCUUUACAUUGUAUAUAUUAAAAUUAUACAAUUGUAUGUCAAUUACAUCUCAAUAAAUCUGGGAAAUAGAUUUUUUUAAAAAAAUUACUUUGGAACAUUUUCAAAAAGUGAAGAGGGACACGAGUGAGAAAUAUGGAGAAUAAUUAAAACAAAAACCCUUAAAAGGCACAAGUUCUUUGGGAGAUCAAUAGUAGAACUCCAGAAAAUGAAGAGGGUGAUAAAGCCAAUCCCAAGCACCUGAGAUUAAGAAUCCAUAAAUAAGAACUAAAACUUUAGGAGAAUAACUUGACCAAGUAAAAUUAUAUUUCAUUACUGAAAAGGCUUAUUAGUCAAGUGAUGUGCUUUCGCUUUCUUGGAAGAAGCUAGAAGGACAUUUACCAUUAAUAAUUAAAUCAACCAGUUUUUUUUUCUGUUUGUUUGUUUUUGUUUUUGUGCUUGAUGGCACAUCACUACUAGUUUAGUUGAAAGGAACCUACCAUUGGGAUUGCCUAUGAGAAGUGCAAUUAAGAACCACCAAAGCCGUCAAGAGACCACAUGUGUACAGAAUACAAAUGGAUUACAAAAAUUUACAAGGAAAUGGUUCCACAGAGGGAGUCUAGUGACACAUAACCAUCAGAGCUCAGUCUUUAAAUGACUUCUAAUUUCUACAAGAACUCUAGGAUGGAAUUAAUUCCAUAUAAGUUACUGCAAAACAUCUAUUUUGUGUUAUAAUUUGGAGAUCUGACACCACAUGUGAGCUUUUAUGUAUUAAGGCAUUUAAAACAACUGAAUCAUUAAUUAUUGAAGGAGUCAUGUUAGCAAUUAUUAGACCAUCCCAGGGCCCCACUGCAGGGCUCUGGGUGGUACAACUCUUACUGUGUUAGUCUCUCAGAUGUGUAUGCCUUCUUGCAGCCCCAUGCACUAUAGUCCAUCAGGCUCCUCUGUGUAUGGAAUUCCCCAGUGGUAAGACUGUAGAUUUAAUUUUAAAAGAACAAGAAAGGAGAGGGGAACGUAUUGAUUGGCUAGGGCUGCCAUAUCAAAAUAUAACAGACUGGGUGAUUUAACAGAGAUUUGCUUUCUCAUGCUUCUGGAGGCUAGAAGUCCCAGAUCAAGUGUGGACAGGUCUGGUUCCUCUUGAAGCUUCUCUCCUUGGUUUUCCAGUGGCUGUCUUCUCACCGUCUCCUCACAUGCAUCCCCUCUGUGCACUUGUAUCCCUCUUGUUUCGUUGUAUGUCCUGAUAUCC